rnacentral:rRNA from 1 species
AGCGAACGCUGGCGGCAGGCCUAACACAUGCAAGUCGAACGAAGUCUUCGGACUUAGUGGCGGACGGGUGAGUAACACGUGGGAACGUGCCUUUAGGUUCGGAAUAACUCAGGGAAACUUGUGCUAAUACCGAAUGUGCCCUUCGGGGGAAAGAUUUAUCGCCUUUAGAGCGGCCCGCGUCUGAUUAGCUAGUUGGUGAGGUAAAGGCUCACCAAGGCUACGAUCAGUAGCUGGUCUGAGAGGAUGGCCAGCCACAUUGGGACUGAGACACGGCCCAAACUCCUACGGGAGGCGGCAGUGGGGAAUCUUGCGCAAUGGGCGAAAGCCUGACGCAGCCAUGCCGCGUGGAUGAUGAAGGUCUUAGGAUUGUAAAAUCCUUUCACCGGUGAAGAUAAUGACUGUAGCCGGAGAAGAAGCCCCGGCUAACUUCGUGCCAGCAGCCGCCGUAACAC